GUAAGUAUAGUUUAUAUAAAACAUUAGAUUGUGAUUCUAAAAUUAAGAGCUUAAACCUCUUUACCUACC
rnacentral:tRNA from 1 species